rnacentral:rRNA from 1 species
UGAGGAAUAUUGCGCAAUGGGGGCAACCCUGACGCAGCAACGCCGCGUGAGUGAGGAAGGUUUUCGGACCGUAAAGCUCUGUCGAGCGGGAAGAAAUGCAUGGUGGCUAAUAUCCAUCAUGCUUGACGGUACCGCUAAAGGAAGCACCGGCUAACUCCGUGCCAGCAGCCGCGGUAAUACGGGGGGGUGCGAGCGUUGUUCGGAAUUAUUGGGCGUAAAGAGCGUGUAGGCGGCUGAAUAAGUCAGAUGUGAAAUCCCUGGGCUUAACCCAGGACGUGCAUUUGAAACUACUCGGCUAGAGUAGGGGAGAGGAAAGUGGAAUUCCUGGUGUAGAGGUGAAAUUCGUAGAUAUCAGGAGGAACACCGGUGGCGAAGGCGACUUUCUGGCCCUAUACUGACGCUGAGACGCGAGAGCGUGGGUAGCAAACAG